AAGGGUAUAGCUCAGUAGUAGAGUGCAUGCUUACCUUGCAUGAGUCUUAGGUUCAAUCCCUAGUACCUCCA
rnacentral:tRNA from 1 species